rnacentral:rRNA from 1 species
GUAGGGAAUAUUGGGCAAUGGAGGCAACUCUGACCCAGCCAUGCCGCGUGCAGGAUGACGGCCCUCUGGGUUGUAAAAUGCUUUUAUACGGGAAGAAAAAAUACUACGUGUAGUAUACUGACGGUACCGUAAGAAUAAGGAUCGGCUAACUCCGUGCCAGCAGCCGCGGUAAUACGGAGGAUCCAAGCGUUGUCCGGAUUUAUUGGGUUUAAAGGGUGCGUAGGCGGAUCUUUAAGUCAGUGGUGAAAGCCUGCAGCUUAACUGUAGAAUUGCCAUUGAAACUGAAGAUCUUGAAUGUGGUUAAAGUAGGCGGAAUGUAUCAUGUAGCGGUGAAAUGCUUAGAUAUGAUACAGAACACCGAUAGCGAAGGCAGCUUGCUGAACCAUUAUUGACGCUGAGGCACGAAAGCGUGGGGAGCGAACAGGAUUAGAUACCCUGGUAGUCC